AGUGAACGCUGGCGGUAGGCCUAACACAUGCAAGUCGAACGGCAGCACAGUAAGAGCUUGCUCUUACGGGUGGCGAGUGGCGGACGGGUGAGGAAUACAUCGGAAUCUACUUUUUCGUGGGGGAUAACGUAGGGAAACUUACGCUAAUACCGAAUACGACCUACGGGUGAAAGCAGGGGAUCUUCGGACCUUGCGCGAUUGAAUGAGCCGAUGUCGGUUUAGCUAGUUGGCGGGGUAAAGGCCCACCAAGGCGACGGUCCGUAGCUGGUCUGAGAGGAUGAUCAGCCACACUGGACCUGAGACCCGGUCCAGACUCCUACGGGAGGCAGCAGUGGGGAAUAUUGGACAAUGGGCGCAAGCCUGAUCCAGCCAUACCGCGUGGGUGAAGAAGGCCUUCGGGUUGUAAAGCCCUUUUGUUGGGAAAGAAAAGCAGCAGGUUAAUACCCCGCUGUUCUGACGGUACCCAAAGAAUAAGCACCGGCUAACUUCGU
rnacentral:rRNA from 1 species